UCCACUCUUCCACUUCCACAGUUCCACAGCCGAUAACCAUUUUCCACAACAAUUUCUUUUCUCUCAAAAUGAGAGUUCACCGCCAAAGCUUUUUCUCUCUUUCAAGACAACCCUUCUCUCUCUUCUUUUUCUCUUCCAGAGCGAAGGACGGCGAUGACCGGCAUGAGACCACAGAUCUACGAGAAUCAUCUACCGGCAAGUGCGAGACCAUCUACCGGCAUGGGACCAUGGAUCUAGAAGAACCAUCAGUGGCAAAAGCGAGAACAAGUGCAAAGAAGGCAUUUCUGCUAGACUCUACAAAUCUCAGCUCCAUAGAUUUGCGAGAAUCACCAUCUGCGACCAUCUACCAGCGAUGACCUGCGACAAUGGUUUCGCAUCUCUGUUUUUUCCAUUCUGGAGACCUUAAUUAGGUAUUCCAGUUGCUUGAAAUGAUGAUUUUAUGGCACUCAUUUGCACUGCUAACAUUAGGAAGAAGAAAUAGAAUGUUUUGAUUUUAAAAUCAUUGCAGGUGAUUAAGUGAUGGGCUUUGGAAUGUCUUGGCAAAUAAGGUUAGCACCUUUCGAGCCUUCUAUUGAUUGGUCUACUGCUCUAGGGGAUUGUAGAUAUCUAAUGGAGUGAUAAAUUGAAUGAUAAUGAUAAACUGCAUGGUGUCUAUUUACAAAAGAUUGGAUGCUGCAUUUGUUGCCAAUGUCUCUUUGUCAUUGUCUUCAGAGCAUUCUAUUAACUGUACCAGCUGCAGGAAGAUCAUUGGAGCAGUCUCAACAUGUCAAUUCAUUUGCAAAUCUUGACUGCACACUUCCUCCUAUGGUCCAAUGAAAUGUUGGUGGCAGUAUGCAAAUACUACGUAAUAGUUUGGAGAGAUGUAAUUGAAAUGUUGGUGGCAGUAUGCAAAUACUACGUAAUAGUUUGGAGAGAUGUAAUAGUUUGGAGAUUGAAUCAUAAGUUAAAUUCCAGAAUUUCAGAUUUUGACUUUUAAAUUUCUACUUUAUAUUCAUGAAUGAUUUCUCUUGAAGCCUAUGAAAUGUGUAUAUGGUUUUCUUUUUUCAUUUCACUGCAGAGACAGAGAUUAUCUGUAGUGAAAUGAAUUUUUUUUUAUU